UACGUAGGCAGCGAGCGUUGUUCGGAAUUACUGGGCGUAAAGAGUGCGUAGGCGGUGCUCUAAGUUUGGUGUGAAAUCUCCCGGCUUAACUGGGAGGGUGCGCCGAAGACUGGAGUGCUUGAGUGUGGGAGAGGAAAGCGGAAUUCCUGGUGUAGCGGUGAAAUGCGUAGAUAUCAGGAGGAACACCUGCGGUGUAGACGGCUUUCUGGACCACGACUGACGCUGAGGCACGAAAGCGUGGGUAGCAAACAGG
rnacentral:rRNA from 1 species